CCGGAAAGGUUCAAGAGGUCAAUCGCAACUUUUCGGGCAUUUCCGGCAAGCUUGUUGUUUUUCCGAGCUUGCCGGAAAGGCUCGAGAAGUUGCGAUUGACACAGUGUCGGUUUGUAGGU
rnacentral:precursor_RNA from 10 species